rnacentral:rRNA from 1 species
UACGUAGGUGGCAAGCGUUAUCCGGAUUUAUUGGGUGUAAAGGGCGUGUAGGCGGGAGCGCAAGUCAGAUGUGAAAACUCAGGGCUCAACCCUGAGCCUGCAUUUGAAACUGUGUUUCUUGAGUGCUGGAGAGGCAAUCGGAAUUCCGUGUGUAGCGGUGAAAUGCGUAGAUAUACGGAGGAACACCAGUGGCGAAGGCGGUCUGCUGGACAGCAACUGACGGUGAGGCGCGAAAGCGUGGGGAGCAAACAGG